rnacentral:rRNA from 1 species
UACGGGGGGGGCAAGCGUUGUUCGGAAUUACUGGGCGUAAAGGGCUCGUAGGCGGCCAACUAAGUCAGACGUGAAAUCCCCAGGCUCAACCUGGGAACUGCGUCUGAUACUGGAUGGCUUGAAUCCGGGAGAGGGAUGCAGAAUUUCAGGUGUAGCGGUGAAAUGCGUAGAUAUCUGGAGGAAUACCGGUGGCGAAGGCGGCAUCCUGGACCGGCAUUGACGCUGAGGAGCGAAAGCCAGGGGAGCAAACGGG